ACUGUCAGGUGGGCAGUUUGACUGGGGCGGUCGCCUCCCAAAAGGUAACGGAGGCGCUCAAAGGUUCUCUCAGUACGGUCGGAAAUCGUACGUAGAGUGUAAAGGCAAAAGAGAGCUUGAUUGCAAGACAUACAGGUCGAGCAAGGAUGAAAAUCGGACUUAGUGAUCCGGUGGUUCUGCGUGGAAGGGCCAUCGCUCAACGGAUAAAAGCUACCCUGGGGAUAACAGGCUUAUCUCCCCCAAGAGUCCACAUCGACGGGGAGGUUUGGCACCUCGAUGUCGGCUCAUCACAUCCUGGGGCUGUAGUAGGUCCCAAGGGUUGGGCUGUUCGCCCAUUAAAGUGGUACGCGAGCUGGGUUCAGAACGUCGUGAGACAGUUCGGUCCCUAUCCGUCGCAGGCGUAGGAAAUUUGAGAAGACCUGUCCUUAGUACGAGAGGACCGGGAUGGACGUACCUCUGGUGUACCA
rnacentral:rRNA from 1 species